CAAAAAGUCAUGGAAGAAAUCACGGAAGAAGAGAAUUCGACACAGGGUGAAGAUAGAGAUUCAUUCAAAUUGUUCUCCCUGUGACUUCAUGUAAUACAUGAAAUAAAUCCGUAGAUGACAAAACAUAAGGAAGAACUCUGAUCACUUUUGAAGCACUUUCAAGGAUGUUUAAAGGACACGACUGAAGCCAGGGAAACCAAAAAAGUUUCCUAGCCGUUUUCUACAUAUUGAACAGUAAAAUGUUUUAAAAACAUUCCUAAACAGUUAUAAAAUGGAAAAGGAAUGACAAGGUGACUAAAUUAAGUUAUAUGUCAAGCACGGAAAAGAGUGCUUCUUUCAAUUUCCAAACCACCAAGAAGUGAGUUGAAAAAAGAAAGCAGAGCUGAGUUUUUUGACCGACUUCGAGGUGGUUUUCAAACGUAACAGCAGUAGCUACAGCACAUUACUAUUUCUCAAAUCAUUUUGAAUACAAAAUUAACUCUAAUAUUUAAAAAAAUAAUGUUUCAAUCAUAUGGUGGGAACAAAAACCUUCCCUUAUGGAUAUUAGAAAGGGGACGAUAAUAUACAUUUUAUAAAAGUACAACUUUCUAAAUCCAAACUGAUGGAGGAUAGGUACUUGUAUACCUGUAUAACUUUUGCAUGCUUACUUAGGUCACUGUCCGUGUUAUGUAUUACAUCUGUAGGCAGCAUUUAUGCUUAGGUACUCGUGUGUAUACCUGUAUAAUUUGCACGCUUACUUAGAUCACUGUGUUUUGUGAUAAAUCUGUAGGCGCAUUUAUGCUUAGGUACUCGCAUACCUGUAUAAUUUGUAUGCUUACUUAGAUCACUGUGUUUUGUGAUAGAUCUGUAGGCGCAUUUAUACUUAGGUACUCGUAUACCUGUAUAAUUUGUACGCUUACUUAGAUCACUGUGUUUUGUGAUUGAUGUGACUCUGUUUCUGUUUUGUAAUACGUCUGUUCUUAGCUUGUGUUGUACUUUUGGGAGCGGGUUUAAGUGAUAUAGUUUCAUAAAUGUUUAUUUCAAUCAAAUUGUUUCUGAUUAUAUAAGUGAUUAUAUGACAAGUAUGUUUUGGGCGUCUUAUUGAGACUUGCAUAGACGAGCGAUCUAUUUGCGAGAAUGAGUUGGUUUGCUGUUUACCGUAAAAUAGGCUCUCCAGCUCGUCAUGGUUCAAUCGGGUCUGUAUUAAAUUUCUCUAUUUUGCAAUUAAGCUACGUAGUCAAUCGAUAUAAAAUGACGUUUAAGCCCGUUUGAUAAAACGAAAUAGACUUAUUUUGAUACGUGUCUAUACACAUGCUGCUUAGUCUAAGAUUUAAGCAAAGCUUGGAAGAAAGCCAGUCAUUUAUAAGCCCUUCAUGUUCCUUGAGCUUUUUUGUUGCUUUCCUCCUAUUCAUUUUUGUCAUAUUAUGCGAAGAGAAUAUUUUGGGCGUUAGUAGGUUAUUAAGAAUACAUACUCUUUCACUAACGAUUGAGUUGAAUACGUUGCAUUCGAUCAUUUGUAUCAAUUCCACAAAAAAAUGUAUUGAAAAGCAUUAACAGAUAAUUUGGAUAGAGCAAAUAAGACAAUUCUUACCUUGUUGUUCGAUUUGCACGAAAAUUAAGAACAGCAGAAUGUAAAAUUGUUGAAGUACGAAGGGCAUUGUUAAGACGAAAUGGUUUACUGAGAUAUUGGGAACUCCCGCGCAGGCGCAAGGACCGAGCGGACUACCAUUUAGGUAACUCCAAAUUUGGUAAUAAUGCUGAUGCUAAAGGUGUUGUCACUACUUUAGGGUAACCAAUUGGAAGCGCAAUAAUGUUUUACCACAAGUCGAGAAAUACUUUGAUAUUGAAAAACACCAAACGCACCAGCUUUUUUCAACCUAUUAAUUUAUAGACAGCUUAUUGUGUCGUCCCCUACCUGUAAACAGUGCAAUGUUUUCUAUUGAAAUGGAAAUUUAAUUCUUAUUCUUAAAGAUAAGGCAAGCGAAUGUCAGGGUUGUAGAAUAUGACGGCUUUAUAUAUACAGGCAUGCACCAUAAAAAUGCAUUUAUUAAUCAAAUUGCAAUUUAAAAGUCUUAUAAAUUUGGAUCGUUUUCUAAGUUGAGGUCGUUAUUCAAGGCUUUGGUACAAGUUUCUUUUUUUAAUACAUACACAAACAAAGUCUUUGUUCAACUACGGAACACGUUUGACCCUAUAACCUUACCACGAUGUCUCUUUUGAUGUGUCUUUGUCUGUGAGUAAAUUGAAACAGAAACCUACCUAUUAAAUUAUUUUGAUUUUUAUUAUAGAACACAUUUUGUUGGAUAUGUGUCCAAAUUCAAUCAAUUGCUAUCUCCAUUCCAUUGGAACAGGAAGGAGUCCCUGAACACCGCACAAGGCGAAGGAGUUAGCCCAGGUUAGGGCUCUCCACAAGUUGCUCGGCAACUUUUCCGAUUUCGAGCAACUUUUUCACUUUCGAGCAACUUUCGUUCUUUUUUUAACUUUUACAUGAAUUUAAAGAAAUUAUCACGCCAAAUAAGGACACAAAUUAAUUUUGAGCAAAUUUUGGAUUUUUUGAGCAACUUUUUGGACUUAAUUUUAGCAACUUUAUAUAGCUAUAAACUUUGUCACACACCUCUUGGAUUUGUUUCAUUUGUGUGGAAUUCAAAAGGUCCCUCGAUGAUAUAUACUUAUGGUACUACACUUAUUGUCGUUUUUUUCCUGUCAAAUGACUACUUUAAAAACAUGUACCUACUCUUACUC
rnacentral:lncRNA from 1 species